rnacentral:rRNA from 1 species
CAAAAUCCGGGAAUCUCUAUGCCGAGCACCGAGACGAGUCCUAUGAGGACGAAGUGACUGACACCACGCUUCCAGGAAAAGCCACUAAGCUUCAGCUGUAGAAAAACCGUACCGCAAACCGACACAGGUAGGCAGGGUGAGAAUCCCAAGGCGCUUGAGAGAACUCGGGUGAAGGAACUAGGCAAAAUGGCACCGUAACUUCGGGAGAAGGUGCGCCUCUUGGUGUGGUCACGUGCGUGACUGAGCAUCGAGGGGUCGCAGUAACCUGGCCGCUGCGACUGUUUAUCAAAAACACAGCACUCUGCAAACACGAAAGUGGACGUAUAGGGUGUGACGCCUGCCCGGUGCUGGAAGGUUAAUUGAUGGGGUCAGCCGCAAGGCGAAGCUCUUGAUCGAAGCCCCAGUAAACGGCGGCCGUAACGAUAACGGUCCUAAGGUAGCGAAAUUCCUUGUCGGGUAAGUUCCGACCUGCACGAAUGGCGUAACGACAGCGGCGCUGUCUCCACCCGAGACUCAGUGAAAUUGAAAUCGCUGUGAAGAUGCAGCGUUCCCGCGGCAAGACGGAAAGACCCCGUGAACCUUUACUAUAGCUUUACACUGAACGUUGAGUUCUUCUGUGUAGGAUAGGUGGGAGGCUAUGAAACCAGGACGCUAGUUCUGGUGGAGCCAUCCUUGAAAUACCACCCUGAAGUGCUUGACGUUCUAACCUAGGUCCGUAAUCCGGAUCGGGGACCGUGUAUGGUGGGUAGUUUGACUGGGGCGGUCUCCUCCCAAAGAGUAACGGAGGAGCACGAAGGUACGCUCAGCGCGGUCGGACAUCGCGCACUGUGUGCAAAGGCAUAAGCGUGCUUGACUGCGAGAUCGACGGAUCAAGCAGGUACGAAAGUAGGUCUUAGUGAUCCGGUGGUUCUGUAUGGAAGGGCCAUCGCUCAACGGAUAAAAGGUACUCCGGGGAUAACAGGCUGAUACCGCCCAAGAGUUCAUAUCGACGGCGGUGUUUGGCACCUCGAUGUCGGCUCAUCACAUCCUGGGGCUGUAGCCGGUCCCAAGGGUAUGGCUGUUCGCCAUUUAAAGUGGUACGCGAGCUGGGUUCAGAACGUCGUGAGACAGUUCGGUCCCUAUCUGUCGUGGGCGUUGGAGAUUUGAGGGGGGCUGCUCCUAGUACGAGAGGACCGGAGUGGACGUUCCGCUGGUGUUCGGGUUGUCAUGCCCAUGGCAUUGCCCGGUAGCUACGAACGGAAGUGAUAACCGCUGAAAGCAUCUAAGCGGGAAGCACGCCCCAAGAUGAGAUCUCCCGAGAGCUUGACUCUCCUAAAGGCACCAUCAAGACUAGGUGGUUGAUAGGCACGGUGUGGAAGUGCAGCAAUGCAUUGAGCUUACGUGUACUAAUGAGCCGUGAGGCUUGAUC